GGCAUAUUGGUUUGGUUGGGGGGCUUGCAGUUCAUGAUCAGGCCACAGUCGACAUCUUCCAGGAAAACAAUGCUGGAGACGAGCACUGUGUGACAUAUGAGAGGUCAGAGAGAGGCCUGCCACCGCAGAGAAACAGCCAAAAGACAAGUAGGGGGCAAGCCAAUUGAACACAGUAAUGCUGUCUCUCUCUCUCUUUCUCUUACACAGACACACAGACUGAAAGUUGCAUGCUUUGGACUGUGCAGGAUGUGCACAGAGACACUGAAAUACUAUAAAAGAGCUGCUCACAUGUAUUUCUGACGAGAACUAUAUUUAAGUGCUGCACUAGAAAUACUGCAUAUUUGAGGCUCUGCUUGGCAGAUAAUUCAGCAUAACAUUACCAAGUAUGUAACUAGAAUAAAUGACUUCCUCACACAUGACUGUCAAACAUGAAUAAAGUUACAGUCAGACCCUCUCAAAACCCACAAAAAAGAACCAAAUGAAACCAAAGGGUAGGGAUUCAACACAUGUCAAAGAAUGAACAUCAACUCUCGUACAAAUCAGAGUAAUGGCUUCUUGUGGCACAGCUGUCUGUACUCCAUGAACAGUAAGCAGUGGCUUGCAAGCAAUGUGAACUUUACUUUUCACGCAACUAAAUUCUAACUUUAUGUCAAGUGACUGAGGAUACAUUACAAACACUGACCAUGUAAUGCGAUACGAUACAAUGCAGUAUUAGGCAGUACAAAAGGGUAUGUGCAAUAUACAAUAAGUUUUUUCACAUUUUAUGCUCGAAAACAUGAACUUUUCCAUGUCAAACUGUAUGACUGUAGUUUACCUGUAACAUCUGCAGCUGUUUUUGUCAGGGUCAAUAACUUCAGUGUGCUGCUUUCAGUCAGUUUCCUUUCCUCCAUAGUUUUCAGUAAAAAAUUCUGCUGUAUAAGCGCCGCGUAAGUGUCGUGCAUCACGCUAGUUUGCAGCUUGUAGGGAUACAUUAAACUGUCACAUAGGACUUUGUGGCCCAUGAAAACCACCCAUGGUGGGUGAGUACGGACAGUGCUUAAGAGCAUCUUCAGAUUUAACUCUUUUGUCAGUAUGAAGGGCAGGGAGAACUUUUUCUUCCUUUUUGGUUUAGAAAGUAGCUAGCACAUCUUUGACGCUGUUUUGCUGCUGUCAACUUCAUCUUCUGCGGAUUAACGUUUUGAAGUGGUGAAUGAGAUUUGCACGAUGGCAUAGUGAGUCACACCUGUUCAGAGCACCACAUUUUUUUAAAUUAAAAAUUUUACAAUAUUUUACCACAUCAUAUUUUGUUCCACUCCUAAUGCUGACUUACGCAAACCUCACAAUGACGCGAAACCAGCCCCCUAGCAAGCUAGCAGGGUAUUUUCGACAUAGAGGCACUGUUUUUUUCAGUUGAUAUGUUUUAUUAUUAUCAUUAUUAUUACUAUUAUUACAAAUAUACUGGUAGCUGCAUCUUACUUUUUUAAGGACACAGAACAAAUACGUGUGUAUAUAAAGCACUUUUGAUAUCUUUACAAUUAUUACAUUAACUGUUUUUUGUGUCACCACUAGAACUACUUGAACAUUUCUAAUGAAUAUACAAUGUUUUCAUCCUUAGUCGGAUUUUUAACAUAAAUUUACUAUUUUAAUCUAAUUUAUUGAUGCAAACGUUCUGAACUUGUCACACCAGCAAGACAAACACAUUUAGGCCUGUGUGUUAAAAAAAGUCACUGCAUUUCAGGUAAAAUAUAUUUUUCUCAACAAUCUCAGAAUAAUACAUAAAAAUAGGAUAAGCUACAGAGGCAUCAUGACCUUAUAGAGAACCUCAAGUUUUAUAUGGAAGGCUCCCCUCCUCCUCCUCCAUGCUUUGAUAUUUCAUGUGUUGUGAACAUAGAGUUUGUGUCUCUGUUCCAGCGCACCACCUCAAACUGUCAUUAAAGCGCAUGUCCUCAGGUGGAAAAUGACUUCUGUGGGGGAGCUUCUCCAAUGAUAACAUGGAUUUGCUCUAAAAUACGUUGCUUUUCUCAGAGCAUCAUGAAUAAGUAAACGCUGAUGAAAACCCUUUGCAUUUUCACUAUCGCUCCUAAUGCUUUUGCUUUUAAGAUGCAUAUUGAGGCAUGCAUAAAACAUCGUCUCACUCCCCCCCUCGCUGCAGCCGCUAUGGAUGAUCGCGAAAACUGUGAACACAAACCCUCUGCACGGCAAAAAGAAAACAGAUGAACAAACAAAACAAGAGAAUCCAAAUUUGUCCAAGGCCCAAUGCCGAGGUCUGAAAUUACAUGUCUCCCUCUUCCCACUUCGCCAAGCGUUUGUGUGUGAAUUGCAUUGGCGUCACCACAGCUUACUUUGGUCAAAUGGGAACUCCGUGGGUUUUUUUAAUUCAUUCAAUUGUCGCUAUUGCCCUGGAAAACCAGGCUGUAAUUUUGGCCGUGGCAUUGAUAAGUUUUUCACUUAGCAUUGAGAGGAUUAAAUCAAUUAUGUUGAUUCUGUAUUUACUGCUUGCAUGCCCACAGUCAUUUGUAAUUAGCUUAUUGCUUUUGAUCUGAUGUAAUGUGAUGAAAUGCCUGGAAGCAGCUCUGGGAGCCCGCUUGGCUGGAGCAACUGGGGUGGGCGCCACUUUCAGGCCCCAUCCGAUUGUCCGAGCAUGGGGCGAGGAGAGGAAGGGAGAGAAGGGGAGAUCGGGCGACUCGCGUGAGCGGCCACAGACAGAGAGGCAAGGGGAUCGGUGUCAGAGUGGAGGGAGGGACCACCCGCUGAGAUGGCAGCAUCCUCCGAACCUCAUUACCCUCAGAGGCCUUUCCCUUCACAUGCAUGUGUAAUUACACCCCACCCUGCCCCACCCCACCCCCCACGAAAGCUCUCGCAACACCUGAUACCUGCAGGUAGAACGCCACAGGGGGGCCUUUCUGCAAUGAUAGGGCUCUGAGGCUCAAGGGCCCGCUUAGAGUAACUUAAAUUGAACUCUGGCCACCCACAUCAAUCAAAGACCCCUAACACAGAGACUGAUCGUCUGCUUUGGAGAGAAAGAGCUGUUUAUUCUUGGAAAGCUAAUUGUUCUACCUAGCCACUGUUCUGCAUCCAAGACUGCACUACAAAGCACAAAGGAUGCAGGAUUGGAUUAGAAAUAGUCCCGUAUAUUUGGACGUGCCUGAAGGACUUGAUGUUGCCUGAUAGUUUCAGGACAGGGAAUCCUUCUCAAGUUGAUUCUGUCAACCUUCUGCUGAACAGACUGAUGAAGUCUUUGGCUUAACUGAUACAAGAAUAAGCUGGUCCUCAAUUAAAUGCACAGUUUCAAGUGCUGCCCAUCUUUCCUCAAAGGGGAAUGGCUCCAACAUGACUCUCGUUCAAACCAGCCCAACAGAACCCCUCCCAAAGUGCCCCCUCCUCUUUGCCAUCCCUUCUUUUCCUCUCCCAAACUGGUGGAGCAGACCCAUGGUGCACUGCAGACUGUUCUGUUUAUGAAAGAGGUCAGGGUGCCACAUAUGGCCAGCGCAUUAAAAUACACACAGCUCCUGCCGCGGCUGCUAAAAAUGUAUUGCGGCUGUCUGUACAUGCAGGAAUAAAAUAAACUCUGAAUGUUUCAGCGAGCAGUGCUGAGAAUUUAAUGAUUGAGUAUUUGAAACUCCGGUCAGAUUCGUACAUGAAAAAACGAAGAAAAGCACAUGUCUUUAAAAGUCCAAAGAUAUUGGGUUAGACGUCAGCAAUAUACAGAGAGUUGUUUGAUUUGGCAGAAGGGGACGUUGAGAUUUGCCAGGGAUAAGUGUGUGUCACACGCCAUCUGAGGGGAAAACAGGGCCACAGUAAGCCGUAGGAAACCAGCGGUGAAACUAAACACAUGCAAUGACAGCCACAGGCGGUCCAUGUGUGCCAAGGAGUCUUAGCUCCUGGCCCGAGGGGAGAGAGCAGGGCUACCGAUAAGUCGAAUAAAGAGCAAAAAAUAUGAAUACCUUCCCCUUCAAAGCAAACUAUUAUGUGCCACUAAAUUUUGAUUAUUUUCAGUGAGAUUUGGUUGCUUAUUUCUCUUGGCUGUAUGGACCCCAUUCCCCAGCUCUAUAGCAGAUUUGAGGGUCUAUAAUUCACCUCUUAAGCAAACACACUUUGUGCUCAAUAAGACAGAGGUUAGAGUUUACACUGCAGAUAGUGUGAGCGUUAACUGUAGUGCUUCUUAUUUUUGUUCAUCAUUCAAUCGUUCAAGCCGAAAGACACAAUUUCCAACACUUUGCCUCUUAAGGCGCCAGUAGAUAUGAAAAAAGGUCAAGAUUGGAUCUAGCCUUAUAACUUGGUGUUGUUCUAAUAACAAUCACAGUGUGAGAUUGGACACAAAGUUUAAACACAGUAAGAUUGUUGGUUUGAUUCCAGCAACAGCCAAUUUAUCCAUCACUGUAAGAGUCAGUUAACACCCAACUCCUCCAGCUGGCAAACACUUCAAGCUACCAUGGUGAAAAUACCAAAUUCAUAUUCCUCUCUGCAUUCUGUGAUUGAAGUGCCCCUCAUUUCAUAGAAAGAUAUUAAAUAAAACAACCCAGACAGCAGAAAAACAAAGGCGCUGAUAGUAUACGAGGCGCCAGCAUGUGUGAAUCCAAGUUCAAGAGGGCAUCGUUGGGUGCAGCCCUGGGUGUUGCUCUGCGACGCCCUGUCUUUAUGAGAUCAGGCCUGCUUCUGGCUAAUCUGCUGUGACCUGUGGCAGGAAGACUGUGUCCACCUCUCAGCUCUGUGAUCCUUUCUUACACCUAACACUUGUGGGUAAUAACAAACCAUAAUUCCAUCUCCUGCUGGGCAAUGAAAAACCUCCCCCGCUGCUCUGUGUUUUUUUUCCAGUUGCAGGGUCAUGAGCAAGCAAAGCAUUGUGGGAAGAGAAGGGUGACUGCGGUGGUGGUGGAGGAGGAUAGGGAAAAGUUUAGGGGUUGCUAAAAAAAAAAAGAAAAGAGUAAAAACAUGUGUAAUGAGAAAACAUGUGGUGUGUAACUAUUGGAAGUCAUCAACAACAGAAAAUAAUAAUUAAAGUGCAGGAUGGAGGGGAAAAAAAAGUGAAGCUGUCUUUUCGUGGCUGGGAGACCACUGUCAUCAUGUCUCAGGAAUUAGGCAAACAUAUGCUGGUCUGCUGCUGUUGAAACCGAGGCGCCUCGCUCAGGCUGCGGUUUGGGAACAUGAAAGGCUUUGUGGGAUGAGCAGGAGGACUGGCCCUAAUUCAGGGCCUCAUUGCCAGGGAAGCUGGCAGCAAACUCCGAUUGUGGGACAGGGAAAGGAAUUUGGUUACAUAUUCCAGAGAGGACCGCAGCUCCAAACAAACUGAAGCAACAGGCUGCUGAGCAAACCAUUCUGUCCACAUUCAACCCCCCCACACCCCCCUGUAGCUGCCUCUGUGGGGGUGAGGGACACACUCCCACCUGACUGAACCCCAGAGGAGAAAGAGCGCAGGGAACAGGAAUGAACUGGGUCAAGCCAAGAGCUGAACUUGAUGCCCGGAUUUCCUGCUGAGAUCCUCGGGUGCUGGCAGCACACUUAGUUAUUUGGAUUGAGCAUUUGGGAAACAAAGCAGGACUUGUGUUGUAUUAUUGCAGCCAAUUAAACUCUCUAACUCAAUAUCUAUGUUUGAGAAGAUGCACAGAGGUCAGCCUGAGAUUUACAGGGAAAACAGAGAAGCCACAACAGUUCAAAGGUCUCAAUAAUCCCGGGGCAACACUUUUCCCUCUGUGAAACACAGCAUGCCUUCACUGUAACCUGAUCAAUUUAGCAAAUUGGUUAAAACUCUUUACGCCUCUAUCUUUUCACAGCCGUAGCAAUGUGCAUCCACAGGGCAAGCCUGUCUUGAUUUCCUUCCAGAAGUGAGACACUUUCUGGCAUUUUCAGACAGGCUGGGAUCAGAUUAAUCAUGUCUCCAUUUAGGGUUACAUAUGAUUAUGGUUGACUGUUUACAAGUUUUCUCAGAUGUGCUCCCCGUGCCAGGACAUGGUGGUAGAGCUCAGAGCCUGAAACUCAUUCAUGCUUGCGGUGGUCUUGUUUUAAACGGAGCUGAAGUGAAAAAUCAUUCAUUUUUUGACAGUGUAAAAUACAGAUGUGAGGCAACAUCGGAUUUGCACCUCCUUGUUAGCAUUUAUUUAACUUCUUGGUGUUCCAACUGGUUGAGGCUGAGUAUUUGAAGUAUGAGAAAGUGAUUUAUUACAGUUCAGUGCCUCCUGAAUUGAGCUGAUGUAGCUAACUUUACACAGUGAAGUGCUUGGGUUUAUUUUUUCAUCAGCAGAAGAUGGACUUUGAGAAAUCUCAAAUGUCAGUUUCAUACCCAACCAGUGGGAGGCAGCACAGACUGGAGGAUUAUGGACUGCAGAGCUCUCACACACACUUGCAUGCUAUCUACACAAAAAAAAAUGAGUCACUUUAGUGGUUGAAGGUGACCAUGUCACACAUCUGGGCUGCAGACCCAAAUGGCCGGUGGCAGAGGAAAGGACGGGGAUCUAGCGGCCAGAGGAGCGGCGACAUGUGGCACGCAGAGGGGAGAGCAGACCGCGCUGAGUUUGUGUCUGUAAUCCUCUGCCUGAGAGAGAGAGAGAGAGAGAGAGAGAGAGAUGUUUGGUUAUGGUUAAAGGCGCUGUUGUCCCACAUUUUCAUCUACUUCUAAUUACAACAUAGCUGAGGCUCAGCGGCAGCCAGCAUAACUGUUGUUGUUGUUGUUGCUGUUUGUUGACAUUACACAGGCCUCCCCCACAACACACUUGUCACACGCACUCAUUCAGAUGCGUACAAUUAAGACCAAGUCGUUCACACCCGAGUGUUACGCCACUGUAUGUGCACACUCAUAUAAGAGCACACAGGCUGUAUUUAGGGGCCUCAAACACACACAUGCUAAAAGUCAGAUGUCACACACACACACACACAUAGAAACACACAUCCUUCCACUAAGUGAUCAACAUAGUUGCAUGGUAGAGCCCAAUAUAGAGACACCAAUCUGUUUGGUGCCACUUGGAGAUUAGUACGACCACAGUGAAAACCCAAAAACACUAUGUAGACAUUUGGGUGGACCGGAUAUCACAACUUGUACAUAUGUGGAAGAAAUUCAGCGCGGUGAAAGGACAAGUGAGUCAGUUCGAUGCCACAUACAAACUGCAGAAUACAAAUGGGUUACCACUAACUAAUAGCUGCCAGACACAAAGUAACCUAAAUGGUUUUGUGUGAUGAUUUAACAAUAAUCUAAAUCCUGCUAAAUCCAAGACAGAUUUUUUUAUAAUCCCUGAAAAAUGUGCCCUUAAAACAAAAAUAGGUUUUUAGGUAUAGUUAAGAAGAAUAUGGGAUAAAGGAGAUGAGAACAAUAGGAGAUAACACACAAUCACAUUGAAAUAUAAAGUAUUGUCCAAUCUUCAUCAACUUAAAGAGUGCUGAGAAGUUCUAGGUUUGUUCUUUCACUGUUUUUAACAUUUAUAUCAUCAUGCAUGUUUGAUGGGGAAUAAAUAUGAUAUUUUUGUGAUCGAGAUAAAGACCUCUAUUAACCCCCUCAGAUUUGGAAAUUACACACCAUGAACAACAAGAAGAUGUCUUGAUGAUGCUGACACUUAUCAGGACCAAAGCUACAGCUGCAAGUCUGACUAAAUACAUACUGUACCGUACACACCACAAUUUUCUCAGUCUGUAAUUUAAUGUUUGCAAUUAAAAACUUCUGUGCUGCCUCUCCGAGUGCGUAAUUUACUGAAUCAACACCUUUAAAUCAAGCGCUUCCUUCUGUGACAGACUUGUGUCUCCCAGUGGAAUUUGCCAUUCCAAACCACAGUCUGCGAUCUCCACAUUGUUUUCACUCCCAAUCACACGCUUUAUCUCCAAUUGCUGACUAAUUACCAAGAGCUAAGGGUUAUGGGAAAGGCCCUGAAAUGACAGUCUGAUGUUUUUGUGGUUCAGCAUUUGGAUUGCUGCUUCGCGUGUGCUUUUUUUAAUUGUCUGAAAAUUUACAGUGUGUGAAAGAGGGGUCAGAUACCAGAUAGGUCAAAAGAGGGUCAACCUUUAUUAAACAGGAGACGAAAUCAACUGCAAACUGCACAUGAAUAAAAGUGCAUUGAUACAUAUAUAUGGUAGAUAUUUUUAAAAGACAUACUAGUUAGUUGAGAGACAUCCAACCACUGAGACAUGUAGCCUGUUAAAAAACAGCUUAAUUUCCAUUAAGAAGUAUAUCACCAGAGGGGACAGCCAUAUAAUUAUGUGAGAUACACAGAGAGAUGAAUAAAAACAUCUCAAAGAAUCUUUAAAUUAACUUAGCAACCACUCUAAGAUUUGUUUGUAUGUGAGUUUUCGCCUCACAGCUCACACGUUUUUUAUUUGACACUACUUGUGGAUGCCACUUUAGAGUCAGUGGACCAAUGUGAAAAUCUAUCAAGAUGAAAACAUGUUUUAUUUCCCUCGCCAAGAGUUUCAUCCUUGGCAGGUUAGAAAGCACGUGAACAAAAAUCUUUGUCAUAAGCUCACAAAUAAAAGUGAGGCUAUGGAGGUCCUCAGGCCACUGUACUCUAUCCCCUUUCAUUCACUUAGGGCCACUUAGCAAUACAGUUGAGCAUCAUUGCCUUACUUUAUCAACAAUGUUCUCUUCUCUGUGAUCUCAGAUACUGUGGAUGAAGUAAUCUGACGACACGCCACGCUGGCACUGAUGUGCGUGCGAAACACCUGAGGUGUUUGACUCAUAGAGAGGCACUGUGCGCUGUGACAUGUAAGAUUCUCCAGAGGGAAAAAAAUGAAGGGGGGGCGUUUAAUGCCUCUGUUCAUGAUGAAGCAGCGAAUUAUAGAGACAGGGUGUGUCAUCUCAUUCUCUGCUCCUUUCAUCAUAAUCCCCCCCUCAAUGUGGAGAGAAAGACUCACUAGAGGCCAUCAGCCCCGAACUGCAGCCGAGAACAUCCCACAGAGAUCCACCUAUGGCCUUUUACUUUUUACUACAGUUCACUAAACAGACGGCUUAAGGAUUAACGGACACCAUUUCAAAGCUGCAGAGCGUGAGGCAAGUCGAACAUACACAAGUGCCUGUGUGCUGAGUUCUUGAGAGUGUCACCUGUUGUGCAGCUGUUAUAUACUCACUAAUGACUGACAGGUUGCAAAGAUACACACACACACACACACACACACACACACACACACACACACACACACACACACACAUCUGAAAGACUUAAAUUUGAGUCUUGUGCUUGAUAAUAACGUCACACUUUUUAUUUAAGUUUUGAAUUAACAACAUUAUGAAAUAGUACUUAAAACUUUUUGUACUCCAGUGAAGAAAUACCAAAGUUACAAGACCCCCAUAAAAAUACUUAAAAACUACUGCAGAUGUACUAUCUGCAUGUCAGCAAAUAUAAGCAAAUCAACAGUAAAUCUAUUAAACAGAUUACAUUACAUUACAUUACAUUAAACUUGAUUGAUCCUAUGCAUCAAUAUAAAACAUAAAAGCAUCUUUUGGUGGUAAGGUAUUAAUAAUAGUUUUAUCAAAUAAAUAUAUUAUAUAAUACAAUACAUUUUUAAACAGCAUUUCAAGUUGAGAGAUAUACUGAUAUAUCAGAACAAUGAUGGUAAAUAUCACCAUUAUGUUUCUAAGUUUAUUAAACAUCUCUUUAAAACAUGCUGCUGGAAAAAAAAAAAACUAUUCAAGAUAAUAUUUUUUAAUUGCAGGAAUCAUUAUUUUAUGUAUUUCAACUCGUCUUUAAGGUAAAACACCUGCAUACAUGAAGCCUGGAAUCAAGAUUUUUCACUAAGGAUUAAAAAAAACAUUAGAGAAGGCAAACAAAGUUUUUUCAUCAAAAUCUAUCUGCAGAUUGUUCCAAGCAGAAGAAAAAAGACUUCUCGCCUAACUUGCUGUGGAUUUGGACUUUAGGAAGGGCAUAUUUCACCAGGUCCAGUGAGUGACGGAUGGUUGUAAAUCCCAUCUUUCAAGAUUAAGAGAGAAGAUAGAGAAGAACUUGGACCAGGGUGACUUCAUACACAAAUAUACCAAUGCAGCAUUGCCCAUGCUCUCAAGUAUUUAAAGCAGGUCAGCUGGCUUUGCAAAACUGAAUAUAAGAAUGAAUAAGAAAACCACAGUUUGUAGUUAUUCUCAGUGACUUGUAAUACUCAAAUUCUACUUGUAACUCUGUCUUUUUUGACAGCUAGAUAAAUCAAAUCAUUCAAAAACUGUAUUUUGCACCAAAUAAACAUGUAUGUAGUAUGGACAGGCUAGAUGAAAGGACUGAAAUAACCGAGUAGCUGAGUAAAAGCACCUAACUAUGCUCAAACAUUUAUAUAACAUGUAUUUUACUUUUUCUUUGUGUGUGUGUUUGUGUGUGGCAUUGCCUUAUCAGUGACUUCAGUCUGAAAGUUGGACACCAUCCAUCAGAGCCAAAUUGUUGCCUGCUUUUAACAUAAUUACAUUUCUUUUGCUUUGAUUCCAGUCCGAAGUAAUAAAACACUUCUAACCCAAACCCCAAAAUCUAUCCACAACUACAAUUAAAGUUAAAAGUGCAGUUGUUUUAUGAUUAGGGCUGCAGGGUCUAUAGCCACCAAGCUCUACCACCUGCUUCUGAUUGGCUAGCAGUGUGUUUUUCCCCCUCACACAUAACCCAGCGUGCACUGGGGUUUAUUUAUUAGGAAUAAAAAAAGGAGUCACUAAUCUGCGCUCGGUUCAGACAGCGGGCUCCCACUACACACUUGCUCACACACGCACACACACACAUCUGUGUACCAGCUGAGCGGGGAGCAGUCCCACUGUUAGGCUUUCACAUAUCAAAGGGCCUGGGGUGCUUUGGCACUGCCGGGGUAGUUGUCCUUUUUUACAAAAGACAAACAAGCAAAGAACUCGGGAUGCGGUCCAGAGCUGUCUUUGACACGGUGUCAAAAUGGGGACUUGGCUCUGUGACAUAUUAUCUACAUGUGUAAAAAAGCUGUGGGGCUUUUCAUAGUUUUUUAGAUGGUUGCUCCCCUGCUCAUGGAAAGGCAGUUCCACAUUUUCUGUUAAUCUACUUUAACCGUACACCACAAAACAACAUAAUUUGCAGAACUGUUCAAUGGCUUCAAUGUCAACGCCAAGCUGCUUUUGACUCAGGGGUGCAUGGAAAGAAUUAGCUCUAGGUGUGUGGUACUUUUGUGGUGUUUGGUUCACAUAUACUCAGAGGUAAAGAUGUAAGUCUGACACUUUGACAUCACCAAAACAUUUCACAGACUGCACUUAAUCCAACCCAUCCUUAGCAACACCUUUAAGAGGCUAAUGCUCCCAAAACAGUUCAUCAUAAGAUCUCAUAUUUUAUCUGCAAAGUUGGCCACUACUGAUGACAGAAACUGUUAAAAUGAGAUCCUGCAGGAUUGUAAUAAAGAUGACAGGAUUCCUAUUUAUCUCAAACUGAUCUUGCAAAACAUCAUAUUUAACACGUGAAAACAAAUCACAGAGGUUCAAUCCGUUUACCACAGCACAAACACAGAACACUAUUUUCAGCAAAUGGAAACAAGGCCCCGUUUUGGGAUCAAAGCAUCUAAUGGGUUCUGGAUAACCAGAAGCUGCUGUCAGUUUUUGGCCAAACCAAACAGACAUGCAAACACAUGUGGCAUUGCAUCCAAAAGAUUUUCAAUGCUGUUUGGAGAAUUAAAGCUACAUUACAUCUAAUCUGAUUCUUAGAGUCUUCUUCACAAACUUAGAGAGCAGGAACACAUUAUCUAGGAUGGCUGUCUGAAGGGACAAAUGACUUUGCCGAUGAUAAAUGGGGCACGUGUUCUCGUAUUGUUUUAUUUCAUGAUUCAAAAUGUCCUUUAAUUUUAAGGCUGUUUUUAAUGGCCUUGCACUCAUGUUCUUCUCUGUCAUUGCAGGAAAGGAAAAUGAAGAACACAGAAAGGUAAUGAGAAACAAACUGACAAUAGCAGAGUUUAUGCAGCACUUUUUCUCCCACUAAUUUCACUGUUGAGGGCGGGUGAGGGAGGGGUGCACAAAAAGACCCAUGUCUCAGUGUAAACUAACCUGCCACCAACUUGAACGUA
rnacentral:lncRNA from 1 species